UACGUAGGGUGCGAGCGUUAAUCGGAAUUACUGGGCGUAAAACGUGCGCAGGCGGUUUUGUAAGACAGGAUGAUCCGGAACCCGGUCAACCUGGGAACUGCGUUUGUGACUGCAAGACUUGAGUAUGGCAGAGGGGGGUAGAAUUCCACGUGUAGCAGUGAAAUGCGUAGAGAUGUGGAGGAAUACCGAUGGCGAAGGCAGCCCCCUGGGUCAAUACUGACGCUCAUGCACGAAAGCGUGGGGAGCAAACGAGGAUUACGAAACCCGUGGUAAGAUCC
rnacentral:rRNA from 1 species